CCUGACUGCUAUCGGAUUGAUACUAAGCCAUGCGAGUCAUUGCAGUAAUGCAAGGCAGACGGCUCAGUAACGCGUAGUCAACCUACCCUAUGGACGGGAAUAACCUCGGGAAACUGAGUAUAAUGCCCGAUAGAACACUAUACCUGGAAUGGUUUGUGUUCCAAAUGAAUGUCGCCGUAGGAUGGGACUGCGGCCUAUCAGUUUGUUGGUGAGGUAAUGGCCCACCAAGACUAUUACAGGUACGGGCUCUGAGAGGAGUAGCCCGGAGAUGGGUACUGAGACACGGACCCAGGCCCUAUGGGGCGCAGCAGGCGAGAAAACUUUGCAAUGUGCGAAAGCACGACAAGGUUAAUCCGAGUGGUUUGUGCUAAACGAACCUUUUGACAGUCCUAGAAACACUGUUGAAUAAGGGGUGGGCAAGUUCUGGUGUCAGCCGCCGCGGUAAAACCAGCACCUCAAGUGGUCAGGAUGAUUAUUGAGCCUAAAGCAUCCGUAGCCGGCUCUGUAAGUUUUCGGUUAAAUCUGUACGCUCAACGUACAGGCUGCCGGGAAUACUGCAGAGCUAGGGAGUGGGAGAGGUAGACGGUACUCGGUAGGAAGGGGUAAAAUCCUUUGAUCUAUUGAUGACCACCUGUGGCGAAAGCGGUCUACCAGAACACGUCCGACGGUGAGGGAUGAAAGCUGGGGGAGCAAACCGGAUUAGAUACCCGGGUAGUCCCAGCUGUAACUAUGCAAACUCAGUGAUGCAUUGGCU
rnacentral:rRNA from 1 species